rnacentral:rRNA from 1 species
GCUUACGGCCAUAUCACGUUGAAAGCACCGGUUCUCGUCCGAUCACCGAAGUUAAGCAACGUCGAGUCUGGUUAGUACUUAGAUGGGUGAAUGCUUGGGAAACCUAGGUGCUGUAAACG